rnacentral:rRNA from 1 species
GAUGAACGCUGGCGGCGUGCCUAAUACAUGCAAGUCGAGCGAACAGACGAGGAGCUUGCUCCUCUGACGUUAGCGGCGGACGGGUGAGUAACACGUGGAUAACCUACCUAUAAGACUGGGAUAACUUCGGGAAACCGGAGCUAAUACCGGAUAAUAUAUUGAACCGCAUGGUUCAAUAGUGAAAGACGGUUUUGCUGUCACUUAUAGAUGGAUCCGCGCCGCAUUAGCUAGUUGGUAAGGUAACGGCUUACCAAGGCAACGAUGCGUAGCCGACCUGAGAGGGUGAUCGGCAACACUGGAACUGAGACACGGUCCAGACUCCUACGGGAGGAAGCAGUAGGGAAUCUUCCGCAAUGGGCGAAAGCCUGACGGAGCAACGCCGCGUGAGUGAUGAAGGUCUUCGGAUCGUAAAACUCUGUUAUUAGGGAAGAACAAAUGUGUAAGUAACUAUGCACGUCUUGACGGUACCUAAUCAGAAAGCCUCGGCUAACUACGUG